CUCUGGUGGGAGUGGCGCACGGGUGAGUAGCGCGUGGGAACCUGCCCUUUUGUGGGGGAUAACCGAGGGAAACUUCGGCUAAUACCGCAUGCGCCCCUGGGGCGACCUGGGGGGAAAGAUUUAUCGCAGGAGGAGGGGCCCGCGUCGGAUUAGGUAGUUGGUGGGGUAAUGGCCUACCAAGCCGAUGAUCCGUAGCUGGUCUGAGAGGAUGAUCAGCCACACUGGGACUGAGACACGGCCCAGACUCCUACGGGAGGCAGCAGUGGGGAAUAUUGGACAAUGGGCGCAAGCCUGAUCCAGCAAUGCCGCGUGAGUGAUGAAGGCCUUCGGGUUGUAAAGCUCUUUCGCCCGCGACGAUGAUGACGGUAGCGGGAGAAGAAGCCCCGGCUAACUUC
rnacentral:rRNA from 1 species